rnacentral:rRNA from 1 species
GACUACGCUGGCGGCGUGCUUAACACAUGCAAGUCGAACGGACAUUAUCGAAGAGCUUGCUUGGAGAUAAUGUUAGUGGCGGACGGGUGAGUAACACGUGGAUAAUCUGCCUGUAACACCGGGAUAACAUUGUGAAAACGAUGCUAAUACCGGAUACGUUCCCCGAACCGCAUGGUACGGGGAAGAAAGAGGAAUCGGUUACAGAUGAGUCCGCGGCUGAUUAGCUGGUUGGUGGGGUAAGGCCUACCAAGGCGACGAUCAGUAGCCGGCCUGAGAGGGUGAACGGCCACACUGGGACUGAGACACGGGCCCAGACUCCUACGGGAGGCAGCAGUGGGGAAUCUUCCGCAAUGGGCGAAAGCCUGACGGAGCAACGCCGCGUGAGUGAAGAAGGCCUUCGGGUUGUAAAGCUCUGUCUUCAGGGAAGAAAGAAAUGACGGUACCUGAGGAGGAAGCCACGGCUAACUACGUG